CUCUCCUGGGGCUGUUCUCCACGCAGUGAGGCUUUCCAGUGCCUGAGCAGACCCUGCACGCCUGCUGUGACUGAGCUCUGCUGCUUUCCCUUGUGUGCCCUCCCAGAUACUUCUGUUCUGCUCUCAUUGUUGCCUGAUUAGAAGUCAUCAAAAAUAAUCAAGCACCCAGGGAAGGAGGAAGAACGUCCUAGUGGAGGCGUUUUAAGAAGAUGGGAUUACAUCUGAAAAAAGAGUUCACAUGUUUUAGGGAAGUAACAGUCCCAUGAGUUACAGCAGCUGAGAAUGGAUUUACUUUCCUCAGUAUAAAUUGAUUCUGUUUCUCCCCAA